AUUCUUUCCUGUCAGAGGAGAUACCGAGAUCACUAAGGUGGUUUUCCCAGGGCCACAUUCACCUAUUGCACUCCGGAUGUGCUGACCCCUACAAUUUCCCUAAAUGUUAGAAACUUGACUGCAUGAUUUGUGGUAGCAAGGGACUACAUUCUUGUUUCCCCCAA